rnacentral:rRNA from 1 species
UACGAAGGGGGCUAGCGUUGUUCGGAAUCACUGGGCGUAAAGGGCGCGUAGGCGGCCGAUCAAGUCGGGGGUGAAAGCCUGUGGCUCAACCACAGAAUUGCCUUCGAUACUGGUUGGCUUGAGACCGGAAGAGGUAAGUGGAACUGCGAGUGUAGAGGUGAAAUUCGUAGAUAUUCGCAAGAACACAAGUGGCGAAGGCGGCUUACUGGUCCGGUUCUGACGCUGAGGCGCGAAAGCGUGGGGAGCAAACAGG